GAGAGAGUUCAAGAGUACGUGAAACCGUUCAGGGGUAAACUGAGAAACCCAAAAGAUCGAAUGGGGAGAUUCACCGUCAGCGGCGUUGGCUUCCGUGCGGCUCGCGAUGGUCGGGACUUCGGUCUCGCGCCACGCGGUCGCCGCGGCAUGUCCGGCGUCGUCGGCGUGCACUUCUCCCCUAGUAGGACGUCGCGACCCGUUGGGUGUCGGAUCAAUGGCCGGUCGGUCGUCUGUUGCGUCGUUUUCAACGGCGACGCGGCAGACCGAUCGGUUUAACGUCCGACUGCCCGGCGGUAUAGAACGCUUAAUCACGGUACUGGGCCGCAACUCGAAUGCGUUCAGGCUCGACGGCAGGCUCGUCUCGCUCGGAUUUACGGACCUAGCGCCGUUGCCGGGCGCUUGGCGUGGCCGUUAGUCGUCGAUGUCCUCGGACUGGCUCUUACCGGUCUGCGACGCUACUGCUUUGGGUACUUUCAGGACCCGUCUUGAAACACGGACCAAGGAGUCUAACAUGUGCGCGAGUCAUUGGGACUGUUAAGCCUAAAGGCGCAAUGAAAGUGAAAGUCGUCCUCGCGACGACCGAGGGAGGAUGGCUCGCGUCACGAUGCGAGCCCGCACUCCCGGGGCGUCUCGUGCUCAUCGCGAGCAGAGGCGCACCCAGAGCGUACACGUUGGGACCCGAAAGAUGGUGAACUAUGCCUGGUCAGGACGAAGUCAGGGGAAACCCUGAUGGAGGUCCGUAGCGAUUCUGACGUGCAAA
rnacentral:rRNA from 1 species